GAGAUGGACACAAUUGAGGGCUUGGCCUCCAUGUUAUUGGACUUCCUGUUACAAGCGACCUGGGACGACCGAGUGAACAUUCUAAAUGGCCUGCUGAGGUUGUUGCCUGAUGUAACUGGCAACCUCCGAAUCAGGCUGCAGGCCAAACUCUUGUACUUACUCAACCAAGAUGAUCCCCCCAAGCUCCAGGUGAGUCCCUACCUCCAGAGUACCCCAUAUCCUGGUCUAAUCCCAGAACCGACCACAGUUCCCUACCUCGAUCCUACUCCCGAGCCUAGGACCGGACUCAGAAGGAGUUUGUGAUGCUGGCACUGCAGCUGCUCCUGGCCUGCAGCCUGGAUGUCCUUGAUGUGAUAUUGGAAAUUAUAUCCUACUACCUGUACUCUCCAGCCAGCUGCCGGUGAGUCCAACUCCUGCUGGGUUUUCCCUACCAGUUUGGGAGGACUUGAGUUAAGCCUCAUCGACCUGUCCUAGGGAAGAACUCAAGAAUUUGCUGGAGGGGAUGGGACUCUAUGACCCAGAUGGCUUACUGUUCAAGGAAAUUAUGACCUGGGUUGAGGACUUGAAACUUGAAUCCAAGGAAAUGAUACGCGCGCAGUGUCAACAGAAGCUUGAAGCAAUUUUUCUCCAGGUCUGGUGGGCCAAGGGCUGGCGGUUCACCUACUGGAAACCUAUUGCCUUCUUCAGAGGCCUCCUAGAAGACCAUGAGUGGUUUCCUGGGUUUUUGAAAUCAGAACAUUUAUUGAGAGCUCCCUACA
rnacentral:lncRNA from 1 species